GUCCCUGCUUUGAAGAAGAACCUGCAAACAUUGUUUUACAGGACAGGGAACCAGUUUGUUGCGCUGCCAACUUCUCUCAUGUUUUUCAUUCUCAUAACAGCUUCAGACGAGCAGUGACUGCAGAACUUGUGUGUGGCAGUACCGUCAAAAAUGAAAGCAACGCAUCUCUUGCUGUGCCUGCGCUGCUAAUGUGCUCAUCGGACGAGACAAACGCGCCUGCGGCUCACGGAGAGUCCAGUUAUACUAGGUUCAAGAUGCCGACGCAGCAGGGCGCCUGGAACCUUCCAAGACUUUCUCCCGCUUUCAGAAGUCACACGUGCAGAGUCACAGAAGCAUUCCUGGAAGCGAGUGCUUUGGCGUUGGUCAGUCUCACGAUGAGGGUGGUCACUACUGUGAGGUUUUGACAGUCACACCCCUUCCUCAAGGAGGCAUUUCUUGGAAGGACAGUGGAUCAUUAUAUAAGGAGGAAAUCGAUGGUGAGCCGGCUCCGGGCUCCGAGAGGACGUGGAGUGACGAGAGCAGCUGCGGGGCAGGCGGCCAGGGCGCUCCAGUCACUGAAGCCGGUACACAGGGCGUGGGGGGACCAGAGUGCUGAAGUCUGGGGCCAGAAGCAAACAUCCCAGUGGCACCUGAAAUCCAGUGUGUUUCUGCACGAGACCGUGGCGUCAGGGCCGGAAAGAGCAGACAGCUAGCAGAAGCCACAGGCGGCAGGCAGCUGUGGUUGGGGGUUCCGGCAGCGGAGAAAGCCGCGGCGCCGGAGAGCCGGUGUUGCGCGCCUGAAGAGCCCUCCCCGGAGUUUUCCAGACAGGAUUCCCUGGAACUGAAGCAUGCCUCACCUGCGAGCUGCCAGGGCUCUGUUCCCAGAGCAGACGAAACGUGACGCACUUACGGAACGCCGUUUAGUAAGACUUAUUUCCAGUCGGAGCGCGAUGGGGGCUUUCUACAAACAAAUACCUGCUGUGGACAAAGAGAUGCACAGAGAUCACAAAGAAGCUAAGGGACCCCGAACAGGCAGCGAUCUGCUGAGUGUUCAUGUGUUCAGACAAGGGCAACUUAAAAGAAUUAUCUGGUGUCAUGAAAGGUGAUAAAAUCCAGAAAAUCCUGCAGAAAGCGAAGAGAGCUUUAAAUAAGUGUGUUCAUCAAAGGUAUGAAGACACGUCAUUUAGAUGCCAUCGCAAUCAAGACACUAACAUCCGGUGCCAUGAAGUCAAAGGCUGAAAAAAGGAUCCAGAACUGAGGGAAACUGAAGAGAUAGCAAUACAGCAUGGAACAGGUGAUUCUUACCUGGCUUCUUUUGGCAUAAAAGAUAUUCCUGGGACACUUGAGGAACCUUAAAUGGAGUCCGAGGACUCAACCAAUGUUCAUUCCCUGAUACUGAUUAUUGUAUUGUGCUUGUGUGGAGAUGUCCUUAUUUACAGGAAGUACCACCAAAAGUACGUGGUGGCUGGUGGGACAUCAGGUUGGGGACCUGACUCACAAGUGACUAGGAAAAACUCGUUACUAAUUCCAGUAUUUAAGGUUUUUGUUUUUAAGUUACUAUUGUUUAAAAAUGCCCACUUGUAUAGUAAUCAGAAAUGUAAACUGAAAAAAGGUUAGAAAAAAUUAAGAAACCUGAGGAAACUAAGUAGAUAAAAAUGAGUGAUAGGAGUCCUCGCUCCAUGUUAUGUGUGUGAAACAGGGGCCUCUGCUUUGGAGAGGAGUUUGCAGAAUCUCCUCGAGUUGAAGCCAUGUGACCUGGGAUGACCCAGCAGUUCCACGUGGGCAGAGAUACCCUUGAGUUUUACAGAAACUGUACAAGGAAACGUGUCUCAGAGUCACCGUACCAACAUUCUUUGUAAUUGUGAAAAACUUGAAAUGACUGAAAUGUCCAUUGACAGAAACAAAUUCUGCUGCAGUGACAGACGAGUUGAGUGAUCGAGGCUGACCUACAGGUAUGGCAAGGAUCAGUCUUGAACAUGUAAAGUUGAGUGGGAACAAUGAGUCUGAAAGGACACCCACUGAGUGAGGACUUUGUGUACAAUUUGUAAGGCACCCAAAAAUACUCUCAUCUGUUACGUAUGCAUGUGUGUUUGCAUGUAUGAUGGAUGUGCAUUUGUAACAGGCCAAUUCCAGUAUAACUCUUACCUUUGGCAAAGGGGAGGGGGAGGGAAUAAGAAGAAAGGAACUUUAGCUGUAAAAUGUAGUAUCCGUGUGUGUUUUUUAAAUGUCAGAGCAAAUAUGCUAAUCAUCAACUGUUAAAUUAAGGUAUGAAGUAUGAGGUGGUCCCUUUUACGGUCUUCUGUUUCUUUUUCCAGUAUUGAGAAAUAUUGUACAGGUAAGUAGAGGCCUAUUUUCAAAAGGAAAGUCUGUUUGGAUAAAAUAAAGCAAGCACACAGGGUGGAGUUGUGCUAGAACAGGAGAGACGUGUGGAUGGGGUGCCUGUUUCUCUGGUACGGCACUCAGAGCAUUCCACACCACCCCACGACAACAACAAGGCUGUUUUUAUUAUUGCUCAUGAAUCUGCAUCAUCUGUGCCAAAAGCUCAUCAGGCUAACCAAGAGGAACAGCAUCCAAAGGAGACGGACCACAGCCAGCAGACACAGCAGAAGAACUGCAAUGCCGGUCUCAGCAGUGUGUACGCGCUGGCAGGUGCGCGUGGCUGGGCAGGCGUGAUGCACCACACACACAGUGGAGGUAAGGACGAAGACACAGUGACUGUCCAGCAAACGGCAACAACACAUCCUGAGGAAACAGCGCCCUUCUCUGACCCCUAGGACGGUGCCAGUGGGGGUGCCCGUGGUGCCGGUGCAGAGUCGCUGUUACACUACAGCACGACAUUCUGUUACUUUUUGUCAGGUGAUACGGUCUGCAUUUCUUAAACCUUGUUUGUUUGCUCUUUACUUGUGACUAUCUUCUGCUCUCCUACCCAGUAGCGCAAAUAUUCUAUGAAGUCAGGGACCUAGCCUGUAUGUCACUCACAACUUAACCGUCUAGCCCAGACUCCGGCACAGGCUAAAUUCUCCAUCAGUAUUGAUGGAACAGACACAAAAGCAGCAGAUGAAACAUCUUCUAUCCGGUCCCCCUAAUGCACGUAAACAUCUUGCAAGUCACUGGUAUUUUGAAAUGUACAUUAAAGCUACACUGUUGCUACUUCCAUCUUCCUGGUAAUAGCCAAUUCUUACAUGGCACUGUUAAAAUAAUAUGGAUGUCAACCAGUGAAUUACUGCCUAUGAGCAAAUGGGAUAGAUCAGUCUAACACUUGCAUAACAGAAAGCUCUUUACGCAAAGUAUUUCACCGUCCUGCGUGUGGAGUUGAUUCUAGCUCCGUGUGCAUCUAUUUUUAAUAGCAAGUUGAUUAUAUUUUACUGACAAGGAGAGGGCAGGCACUGCAAAACAAACAUAAUGCAUAUUGUUGGUGUGUAAAAUCCCAACAAAUGACAUCAGCUGUACCUUUUCAUACAAAAACUGAAUUAGCUUGGAAUACUAAAUUGUCCAAGAGAGACUCCAGCUAACUCAUUAUAUAUUUAUUGUUGAAAGGGUGACCAUGACCUGCGUAAUAUGUAUUUACAUAUUUAAAGCUAUAGUCAAUAUGAAAAUGAAUGAACAAGAGUAUUCAUGUAUGACUGUAUUGGCACAACACUGUAAACUGACUAUAACUCAAUUGAAAAAAAAAAAAAGAAAAUCCAGAUUUGUAUUAUGGAAACAAUGCCACUCUUCUCAAUUUUUUUGUAUUGGAAAAUAUACCUAGUUUAUAAAAAAUAUUUUAUUCAUGUUAACAUACAGUAAA